rnacentral:rRNA from 1 species
GACAGAGGUGCCAAGCGUUAGGCGGAAUCAUUGGGCUUAAAGCGUGUGUAGGCGGAUCGUUAAGUACCUUGUGAAAUCCCACGGCUCAACCGUGGAACUGCUGGGUAUACUGGCGAUCUUGAGCCACCUAGGGGCGAGCGGAACAAGCGGUGGAGCGGUGAAAUGCGUAGAUAUCGCUUGGAACGCCAAUGGUGAAAACAGCUCGCUGGGGGUGUGCUGACGCUGAGACACGAAAGCCAGGGGAGCGAACGGG